UGGCUUAAUUUGACUCAACGCGGGAAAUCUUACCGGGUCCGGACACACUGAGGAUUGACAGACAAAUAUGGAAAUUUUAUAUUUCUCAUAUAUAAAGAUGCUAGUUCUUUCAUGAUUAUGUGAUAGGUGGUGCAUGGCCGUUCUUAGUUCGUGGAGUGAUCUGUCUGCUUAAUUGCGUUUCAAUUUUUAUUAUGUAUACGUAUGACCCACGUUUACGCGUGCGAGUCUAGUAUGCUAUCAUUUGAAAGCAACGAACGUGACCGUAUCCUUUUAUUAUAUACGCACGCGUAUAUUUAUUCAUUAAAGGGACCGCUGUUUCUUUUUUUAAACCAGAGGAAGGUUACGGCAAUAACAGGUCUGUGAUGC
rnacentral:rRNA from 1 species